rnacentral:rRNA from 1 species
UUUUUAUUGAGAGUUUGAUCCUGGCUCAGGACGAACGCUGGCGGCGUGCCUAACACAUGCAAGUCGAGCGAUGAAGUUUCCUUCGGGAAACGGAUUAGCGGCGGACGGGUGAGUAACACGUGGGUAACCUGCCUCGUAGAGGGGAAUAGCCUCCCGA